GUCUGUUUGGAGGUAUAAAAAGUUUAACCUGCCCACUGAUUAAUAUAAUAUAUUAAAUGGCCGCGGUAUUUUGACCGUGCAAAGGUAGCAUAAUCGUUAGUUUUUUAAUUGGAAUCUUGUAUGAAUGGUUGGACAAAAGAAAAUCUGUCUCUAUAUUGGUUAUCGAAUUUAACUUUUAAGUGAAAAGGCUUAAAUAAAUUAAAGGGACGAUAAGACCCUAUAAAGCUUAAUAUUAAAAUUUUAUUUAGUUAAAUUUUAUACUAUAAAAACUUCGUAAUUAAAUUUAUUUUAUUGGGGCGAUAAAAGUAAAAUUAUUAUUACCUGCUUAAUUUUUAAUACAUAAAUUGAUGAUUAAAUUUUUAAAUGAUCCUAAAUAAAGAUUAAAAGUUUAAGUUACUUUAGGGAUAACAGCGUUAUUUUUCUUGAGAGUACUUAUCGAAAGAAAAGUUUGCGACCUCGAUGUUGAAUUAAAAUAUCUUUAUAAUUGUAGCAGUUAUAAUAGUAGGUCUGUUCGACCUUUAAAAUUUUACAUGAUUUGAGUUCAAACCGGCGUGAGCCAGGUUGGUUUCUAUCUUUUAAUGAUAAAAAAUUAUUUUAGUACGAAAGGAUUGAAUAAUUAAAAUUAUUUUUUAAUUGGUUACUAUUUUGGCAGAUAAUAUGUGUUGGA
rnacentral:rRNA from 1 species